CACGUAGGGACCGAGCGUUGUCCGGAAUCAUUGGGCGUAAAGGGCGCGUAGGCGGCCGUGCAAGUGGAAGGUGAAAUCCCUCGGCUCAACCGAGGAACUGCCUUUCAAACUGCUUGGCUUGAGUCCGGGAGAGGUGAGUGGAAUUCCCAGUGUAGCGGUGAAAUGCGUAGAUAUUGGGAGGAACACCAGUGGCGAAGGCGGCUCACUGGACCGGAACUGACGCUGAGGCGCGAAAGCGUGGGGAGCAAACGGG
rnacentral:rRNA from 1 species